GCCAGGUGUGGUGGUGCACACCUGUAAUCCCAGCAGCUUGGGAGGCUGAGGCAAGAGGAUCACAAGUUCAAAGCCAGCCUCAGCAAGUUAGCCAGGAACUAAGCAACUUAGUAAGAUCCUGUCUCAA
rnacentral:sRNA from 1 species